UCUUCCGAUCUGAUUUUUCGAUAUAAAUACUGGACAAAGUAUGGAUAUUUUACUGCUGUUAGUAAAAUAGGAUUCUCUUCUUAGGAUCUUAGUUUCUUCACUUGUAUUAGACUCAACAAUGGCUUGAAUUGUAUUGGUGUUGAUUUUACCAAAAUUUCGAGGUUUAUAAUUUUUAAUUUUUAUUAAUUAUUUAUGUUUUCUCACUUUUAUUAAUUUUUAUUAUUAUUUAAACUUUCUUUAUUUGCCU
rnacentral:lncRNA from 1 species